rnacentral:rRNA from 1 species
GGGAUUAGAUACCCCACUAUGCCAACCAUAAAAAAUCCACUNACACUCAAAGCGCCAGAGUAUUACGAGCUUUAGCUUAAAACUCAAAGGACUUGACGGUAUCCUAACCAACUAGAGGAGCCUGUUAUAUAAUCGAUAACCCACGAUAUACCUAACCAUUUCUUGCUUUCAGCCUGUAUACCUCCGUCGUAAGCUUACCAUUUGAAUGUAUAUAGUAACGCUUAAGGGCCAUGCGCCAAAACGUCAGGUCAAGGUGCAGCUCAUGAAAUGGAACUAAUGGGCUACAAUUUCUAACCUAGAACAAACGAAACACUAAAUGAAACAUAGUUUGAAGGAGGAUCUAGUAGUAAAUAAGAAAUAAUGAGUCUUAUUAAAUUCGGCCCUAGGAUGUGUACACACCGCCCGUCACCCUCUG